rnacentral:rRNA from 1 species
AUGGCACCAUCCACGAGUCUUGCAGUGAAAGGUCUGCUCCCCUUUGGAGCGCUCCCCUCGAGCAGCGUCGCGCAGAGGCCGGUGUCCGUGACCGCCUCACUGGAGCACAAGACGAGCGAUUAUAAGAGGAAGCUCCUAAAGCUUGCACUCGGAGGAGUCGGUCUGCCCGCCUUGUUGAGUGCCAAGAAGGCUUUCGCCGAUGACCAGGGCGUCUUUUCCUCUAGGAUGUCUUACUUGAGCUGGUUUCCUCCCUGGCCUUACUGCUGCUGCUGCUGGAUGCUUCCCCGUCCCCUUCACCUACAGUGCUAUAUUGCAUCACUGAUCUACACUGUUUGUUUGUCACCCAUUCAGCUUACUUAUUGGGGCAUCUUUCUUGUGUCGCUGUUGCAUCUGGCAGAGCUGCCGUUGAGGCCCCAAAAGGUAACCUUCAUCAGCCACAACCCCACAACAAUGGCUCAAGGUUCUGUGCCCCAUCACCCCUCUUUCUAA